rnacentral:tRNA from 1 species
GGAUAUAGCUCAGUGGUAGAGCGCAUGCUUAGCAUGCAUGAGGUCCUGGGUUCAAUCCCCAGUACCUCCA